GAUCCUGGCUUAGGAUGAACGCUGGCGGCGUGCUUAACACAUGCAAGUCGAACGGAGUUUUUAACGGAAGUUUCGGAUGGAAGUUAGAAACUAGUGGCGGACGGGUGAGUAACGCGUGGGUAACCUGCCUCAUACAGGGGGAUAACAGUUAGAAAUGACUGCUAACACCGCAUAAUAUAGCGAAACCGCAUGAUUUUGCUAUCAAAUAUUUAUAGGUAUGAGAUGGGCCCGCGUCUGAUUAGCUAGUUGGUGGGGUAAAGGCCUACCAAGGCGACGAUCAGUAGCCGGCUUGAGAGAGUGACCGGCCACAUUGGGACUGAGACACGGCCCAAACUCCUACGGGAGGCAGCAGUGGGGAAUAUUGGACAAUGGGGGAAACCCUGAUCCAGCGAACCGCCGCGUGAGUGAAGAAGUAUUUCGGUAUGUAAAGCUCUAUCAGCAGGGAAGAUAAUGACAGUACCUGACUAAGAAGCCCCGGCUAACUACGUGCCAGCAGCCGC
rnacentral:rRNA from 1 species